rnacentral:rRNA from 1 species
AAUCAUGGCUCAGGAUGAACGCUAUCUACAGGCUUAACACAUGCAAGUCGAGGGGAAACGACAUCGAAAGCUUGCUUUUGAUGGGCGUCGACCGGCGCACGGGUGAGUAACGCGUAUCCAACCUGCCCAUCACUUGGGAAUAACCUUGCGAAAGUAAGACUAAUGCCCAAUGAUAUCCCACGAAGGCAUCCGAAUGGGAUUAAAGAUUUAUCGGUGAUGGAUGGGGAUGCGUCUGAUUAG